AACCAACCAUAAGCUACCAACUGAUUCAAAAUUCAGCUUUAUAAAACACUGGUAUGUGAACGGUUUUAGGAUGAAUCCUGCCUCUGUCAAAGAUCAAUACUGGAACCCUAAAAUCUCAACAUACUCAAGCAAGUCAGAAGGCAAAUCUGGAAGGUAUAAAUGAGGAUCAAGAGAAACAGAAAGGCAAAACUGAAUCAUGCAUGGGUCAGUGACAGCAUCAGAUGCUUGUCUGCUGUUGCCUCCCCAAGGUUUAUAUCCUUUCAGUGGUGGUAAUGUGGUUAACCUGGAUGAACAGGGAGGCCCAGAAAUGUGACUGUCUUGCACCUGAUCUAAAGCUUCCCCAGCUGAGUCUGAAAGCGGUCAAAGUUUGGAACAGGUUGCCCAGAUGUGCUGUGGAAUCUGACUCCCUGGAGAUAUUUAAAAUUCAAAUGGACAAGUACCUGAAGAAACUGAUUGAAGAGGAACUGAUGUGAAUUAGGGACAGGAGUAGAUGAUCUCCAGAGGUCCCUUCUAGCCUAUAAUAUUCUGCGAUUCUUAGAAUCACAGAAUGCAACAGGAUAACAUUUAUGAACAUUUCUGAAUAAUUCUAAAAAGAUGUUACCUAAAAUGAGUAAGGGAAAUUCAUCACAACUGCUUAACCCCUGGGUCUGUUCUAAAACGUACAGGUCCAGUUUUCAGAAAUGUUUUGUUGUUCUUUCUUGUAGGUAUUAAAGCAUGUAUAUGGUCGUAUGGAUUCACUGAGACAAUUCUAAAGAUGAGAAUGGAGGCCCUGGCAUGUGAGUCAGGCUAGUUUAUUCAGUGCAGAUUUUUCUGCUAGAGUAAUCAGAACUACCUUAGUAGUUAGAGUUACAAAUGAUUGCACUGAUUAUUGAUUAAAUGUGGAAGAGCAUAAUUACUUCACAGAACAUGAUUUAUUUGAUAUUAGUGGUUGAAAACCACUACAGAUCUGCAGGGGGAUUAAAAAGGAUAUAUUCAAUAUACAUGGCAUGUGAUUUCUGGGCCAAUUAACACUGAGCGUUUUUGUGGGACGGAAGCUAUACACACACACAAUUGUAAAUAAAGUCAUUUGUUUUCAUUCCA
rnacentral:lncRNA from 1 species